AAGAUGGAGAUCGCCUUUGCUGUGUGCAUUUUGAGCCGGAGUGCUUCGACCGCACCGGACAGACAACACGACUGCGUGCGGGUAGUGUUCCUUCUGUGUUCCCUGCGUUUCCGGAGCAUCUACAGAAGCCCGUGAAAAGGAAGCGUCCAGGCCGCAAGCAUGAAGACUGGUUCCAGAAACUGGAGGACCACAUCCUUGAUCUUGAUCCACUUGAUAACCAUAUUUAUAUUUUGUGCAAGAAAAUCGCUGAAGAAUAUAUAAAAGUGAGAAUACACCACAUGACGAAAGAACGAAACUGUGAACUGAUCAAAAACAAAGUGAGACCACUUUUGUCGAGGGUGAUUAUUUUCAAUCACCAGUAGGGUGUUUGUCAUGGUGUUCUUGACUGUAUCUGAGACUUUCUCCUUAAUAUCUGCUCAUUUGAACUUCCUUCUGCGUAUCAGUUGGCUGCUGGUUGAUGGUAAAUAAACGACUACAACUAGAA